rnacentral:rRNA from 1 species
AGAGUUUGAUCAUGGCUCAGAAUCAACGCUGGCGGCGUGCCUAACACAUGCAAGUCGAGCGAGAAAGGGUAGCAAUACCUGAGUAAAGCGGCGCACGGGUGAGUAACACGUGGGUAAUCUGCCCUAGAGUGGGGAAUAACACCGGGAAACCGGUGCUAAUACCGCAUACGAUCGCGAUGUCUUCGGAUGUUGCGAUGAAAGGAGCAAUUCGCUCUUGGAGGAGCCCGCGGCUGAUUAGCUAGUUGGUGAGGUAAUGGCUCACCAAGGCUACGAUCAGUAGCCGGUCUGAGAGGACGGUCGGCCACACUGGAACUGAGACACGGUCCAGACUCCUACGGGAGGCAGCAGUGGGGAAUUUUUCGCAAUGGGGGCAACCCUGACGAAGCAACGCCGCGUGGGUGAUGAAGUAUCUCGGUACGUAAAACCCUUUCGACGGGGAAGAAACCGCAAGGUUGACGGUACCCGUAGAAGAAGCCCCGGCUAACUCCGUGCCAGCAGCCGCGGUAAUACGGGGGGGGCAAGCGUUGUUCGGAAUUACUGGGCGUAAAGGGCGCGUAGGCGGUUCGCUAAGUUGAAUGUGAAAACUCUGGGCUUAACCCAGAGCCUGCAUUCAAUACUGGCGGGCUAGAGUUCUGGAGGGGAUAGCGGAAUUCCUGGUGUAGCGGUGAAAUGCGUAGAUAUCAGGAGGAACACCGGUGGCGAAGGCGGCUAUCUGGACAGAGUCUGACGCUGAGGCGCGAAAGCUAGGGGAGCAAACAGGAUUAGAUACCCUAGUAGUCC